UAGAUGCUCCAUGCAUGUCUAGACAAUUUGACAGCUUUAUAAAGCUGUGUGCCACUGCUAUAAGUUAACACAGAACUUAUUUUAUAGUGGCGAGGCUGUGACCCAUAACAGUGCCUACAUAACGGAGGAGCCACCAGACCCCUUGGCUAUGCCUGCCGUAGUGCAACGUAUAAUCUGGAUGGUCGGGUCAGGUACACCUAGGAAAUGUUGUAUACAUUGGCAACGAUAACUGGGGCCUGCUCCAGUGCCAUCGCCGGGAUUCCCUGUUCUGCAAAAAACUGACAUAACUGAUGUGGGGAGCCCUGGCGCUUGGUGUAGGAGUAUCACAGGGGCUCCUUGUCGGUGCUUGAAGGACGGCAAUGCUGUUGAGAAGCCGACAUUGAGCCCCGAUAAAUUGGAAGCUGUGGGUAGUUACCGCAUUAUUGACUUGGAAACCAGUGAGGUCUGGAUGCAAGUGAAGCUACCGAGGGAGGCAUGUGUGCAUCACUUGUGCUGCUGGCCAUCCUCUGCAAAAGUGAUGGCUGGCAGUCAGUGCUUGGAUGACUUUCUGUUACUCUACGCCUUGGGCUGUGUUGACUACUUCACACUUGCUGCCAUGUCUGCAAGCUUAGGCAAAAAGACCGGCUGGAUGCUUGGCAGGAGAUAGUAUCCAACCGCAGUGUUACUGUGUUGUGUUGUACAUUACAAAGUGAUGGAGGACAGUAUUUGUGCUGUUAUUAAGAAGUAUAAAUUGUGUUCUGCCAUUGAAAUAAGGGAACUCGACACAAAGCAAAAGAUUUCGAAGUCUGACCUACAUGGGAAAGCAAAAUAUAUUGUGUUGUAGUUGUAGCUGUUAGUAGAGUCUUAAUAUGCGGUAGAAGACCUUGAUGUUUAAUAGAAAAUAUAUUUAAGUGUGUUAUCAGUGUGUUAUCAGUGUUUAAGUUACUGUUAUGUGUCAUUUGUUUGCCAAGAUGAUGUAAGCAGACAGUAAAUAAAUGCAUGGUUUGAGAUUAUAACCAGGUUUGUCUAUGGCAUUCACUAUUAUUUAAGGUGGACCAAUGCAUAUUCAUGGGUGCAUAUUCAACCACCACAUUCCUCCUGC